UACGAAGGGGGCUAGCGUUGCUCGGAAUCACUGGGCGUAAAGCGCACGUAGGCGGCUUUCUAAGUCAGGGGUGAAAUCCUGGAGCUCAACUCCAGAACUGCCUUUGAUACUGGAGAGCUUGAGUCCGGAAGAGGUGAGUGGAACUCCGAGUGUAGAGGUGAAAUUCGUAGAUAUUCGCAAGAACACCAGUGGCGAAGGCGGCUCACUGGCCCGGUACUGACGCUGAGGCACGAAAGCGUGGGGAGCAAACAGG
rnacentral:rRNA from 1 species